rnacentral:rRNA from 1 species
UACGUAGGGUGCAGGCGUUAAUCGGAAUUACUGGGCGUAAAGCGUGCGCAGGCGGUCUUUUAAGUCAGAUGUGAAAUCCCCGGGCUUAACCUGGGAACUGCGUUUGAAACUGGAAGGCUAGAGUGUGGCAGAGGGGGGUGGAAUUCCACGGUGUAGCAGUGAAAUGCGUAGAGAUGUGGAGGAACACCGAUGGCGAAGGCAGCCCCCUGGGCUAACACUGACGCUCAUGCACGAAAGCGUGGGGAGCAAACGGG